rnacentral:rRNA from 1 species
UACGAAGGGUGCAAGCGUUACUCGGAAUUACUGGGCGUAAAGCGUGCGCAGGCGGUUUUGUAAGUCUGACGUGAAAUCCCCGGGCUCAACCUGGGAAUUGCGUUGGAGACUGCAAGGCUGGAGUCUGGCAGAGGGGGGUAGAAUUCCACGUGUAGCAGUGAAAUGCGUAGAGAUGUGGAGGAACACCGAUGGCGAAGGCAGCCCCCUGGGUCAAGACUGACGCUCAUGCACGAAAGCGCGGGGAGCAAACAGG